rnacentral:misc_RNA from 1 species
GUGAAUCAUCAAAUUUUUGAACGCAAAUUGCGCUUCCUGGCAUCCCGGGAAGUAUGCCUGUUUGAGGGUCAGUUUUAAUAAAUAAUCGGUUUCGUUACAAAUUGUGACGUUUCAGGAGUUUGGGCUAUCUUAACAUUUUUGGUUAAGAGGCUUAAAAUUGACCUUUUUUGCGUAUUUUUACACGUACAUAAAUUUUUUUUAUUCGUCUAUUCUUUAUGUCUACAUCUA